rnacentral:rRNA from 1 species
UACGUAGGGUGCAAGCGUUAAUCGGAAUUACUGGGCGUAAAGCGUGUGUAGGCGGAUUCCUAAGUACCUUGUGAAAUCCCACGGCUCAACCGUGGAACUGCUCGGUAUACUGGGUGUCUUGAGCCACUUAGGGGCGACCGGAACAAAUGGUGGAGCGGUGAAAUGCGCAGAUAUCAUUUGGAACGCCAAUGGUGAAAACAGGUCGCUGGGAGUGUGCUGACGCUGAGACACGAAAGCCAGGGGAGCAAACGGG